rnacentral:rRNA from 3 species
UUAUCGGAGAGUUUGAUCCUGGCUCAGGACGAACGCUGGCGGCGUGCCUAAUACAUGCAAGUCGAGCGGACAGAUGGGAGCUUGCUCCCUGAUGUUAGCGGC